AGUGGGAUAGCUGGGUCAAAUGGAAGUUGGAUUCAAAGUUUUCUGAGGAAUCUCCCCACACUGCUUUCUGAAGUGGUUGCACCAUUUUGCAGUCCCACCAGCAAU
rnacentral:pre_miRNA from 1 species